UGCAAUUGAAGAGGCCCAUUCUUUAUUUCUUUAAUGACUAACACCCCAAAUUUCUUUUUCUUCUUCUCCAGGGUCUCAAGCUUCCUAGUAAUUACUGGAAUCACCUUUUUCUAAAAUGGAGUGGAGUUUUUACUUUCUAUAAAGGAGCUAUUGGGUUAGGUUUGCUUGCUCAUGAAGGAGAAAAAAAUCUAACUGCUCUUUUCCUAUCAUCCAAGUUAGAAGAGUCUGGGAGCAAAGUAAUAGCCUUUAUGCCAGACCUCCUGCAGAAAUGCCUUCCAGUUGUGAUAUUCUCCAAAACACAGUUUUGCUUGUUCAUAGCCUGAAAACUCUUGGCCUUAUGUGGAGAGAUACUGAGGACCCACAGCUCCCAUUGAAGUCAAGGUGAGGUCCCUAUGCUAUGUUCAUCCCUGUGGUAUCUAGGCACCUGAUGCUACUCAUGGAAUUCUCACUGGCAUCAGAGAUCUGCACUGUACGAAAUCCACAAUGUGGACUGAAGAGAAGAACGUUGAGUAACUGGUAAAUAGUCAUUUGCAAAGAGGCGUGGUCGCCCUCGGAGAUUAACAGCGAGGGACAGCCAGAGGCCCUCUGGUGGGCGGAACCAGAGAGGCCAUGUUCACCAUACCAGAAGCAGAGGGGCAGGACAGGAACAGGAUCUAUAAAAGGUGGGACCUAUAGCUCAGUUGGGCUGGAGCUGCCAGGGAAGACAGAUGCAUCUAGCUGCACCAAGGACUGGCGAGUGCUCCCAGACCUGCUGACUGAUGGAGAUGCUGAGGAACUGCCUCCUGAGG